GCUAAAAAUCUAGCCCCCCCGCAUCUAAUGAACCUUAAAAAUUUUUUAAACUAACCAAAACAUUUUUAAAUCUUAGUAAAGGCGAUUAAAAAAUUGUUAGGAGCUACAUAAAUAGUACCGCAAGGGAAAGAUGAAAUAAAAAUGAAAAAUUUUUAAGCACAAAAAAGUAGAGAUUAAUUCUCGUACCUUUUGCAUCAUGGUUUAACUAGUCAAAUUAAGCAAAACGACUUAUAGUUUAACUUCCCGAAACUAAGCGAGCUACUUCAGGGCAGCUUAUUGAGCGAACCCGUCUCUGUUGCAAAAGAGUGGGAAGACCUUCAAGUAGGGGUGACAGACCUAACGAGCUUAGUGAUAGCUGGUUACUCAAGAAAAGGAUUUUAGUCCAACCUAAAGCUUUAUGAAUACCUCAAAAUAAUAAAUCUGCUUUAGAGCAAUUCAAAUAAGGUACAGCCUAUUUGAAACAGGAUACAACCUUCAAAGAUGGGUAAUUUUAACUUACGAUAAUUAAGUAGGCUUAAAAGCAGCCACCUUUAAAAUAGCGUCAAAGCUUCAUUAUCAUUUUAUAUAAUUCCACUCAUGUUCAAGAACCCUCCAUCUCUAUUGAGUACUUCUAUACUGAUAUAGAACAUUUCAUGUUAAAACUAGUAACAAGAAGCAGAACUUCACUUAAAUGUAAGUGUAAGUCAGAAAGGACACACCGCUGACCGUUAACAUUCAUGAAAACAAAUUAAUAAAUCCACAAGAAAAACUUAAUUUAUAUUAUGUUAACCUAACACCAGAGCAUUACAAGUAAGAUUAAAAGAAAAAGAAGGAACUCGGCAAAUAUUAACCUCGCCUGUUUACCAAAAACAUCGCCUCCUGAUAAAAUAUAGGAGGUCCAGCCUGCCCAGUGACUCUGUUCAACGGCCGCGGUAUCCUAACCGUGCGAAGGUAGCGUAAUCACUUGUUCUUUAAAUGAGGACUAGUAUGAAUGGCACCACGAAGGUUAUACUGUCUCCUUUUUCUAAUCAGUGAAACUAAUCCCCCCGUGAAGAAGCGGGGAUGACUCUAUAAGACGAGAAGACCCUAUGGAGCUUUAAACUAAAUAACAUUUGCUUUUAAAUUUAUGAACUCCAGAGUAUCCACACUUAAUAUAGCUUACUGAUUUUUAGUUUUAGGUUGGGGUGACCGCGGAGCAUAAAAUAACCUCCACAUUGAAUGGGAAUUUUCCCUGAGCUAUGAGCUACAACUCUACGCACCAAUAAAUUGACAUUAAUUGACCCAAUAUAUUGAUCAACGAACCAAGUUACCCUAGGGAUAACAGCGCAAUCCGCUUCAAGAGCUCCUAUCGACAAGCGGGUUUACGACCUCGAUGUUGGAUCAGGGUAUCCCAGUGGUGCAGCCGCUACUAAAGGUUCGUUUGUUCAACGAUUAAAACCCU
rnacentral:rRNA from 1 species